AUCUUUGCGAUUGGGGCAACGACGUAGACAGUGAGGUUCUAAUCGAUACGUGUCUAUUGCUGGUUGAAAACCAUUUCUAAACCCCAUUUUGGACAAUGGCUUGACUGUGGCCCUUGAGAAUUUCUGAAAGGAUUUCCUAAAAU
rfam:Cephalotus follicularis DNA, scaffold: scaffold1611, isolate: St1.